AAUAGAUACCCGGGUAGUCCACGCCGUAAACGAUGAGUGCUAAGUGUUAGGGGGUUUCCGCCCCUUAGUGCUGCAGCUAACGCAUUAAGCACUCCGCCGUGGGGAGUACGGCCGCAAGGCUGAAACUCAGAGGAAUUGACGGGGGCCCGCACAAGCGGUGGAGCAUGUGGUUUAAUUCGAAGCAACGCGAAGAACCUUACCAGGUCUUGACAUCCUCUGACAACUCUAGAGAUAGAGCGUUCCCCUUCGGGGGACAGAGUGACAGGUGGUGCAUGGUUGUCGUCAGCUCGUGUCGUGAGAUGUUGGGUUAAGUCCCGCAACGAGCGCAACCCUUGAUCUUAGUUGCCAGCAUUCAGUUGGGGCACUCUAAGGUGACUGCCGGUGACAAACCGGGGGGAAGGUGGGGAUGACGUCAAAUCAUCAUGCCCCUUAUGACCUGGGCUACACACGUGCUACAAUGGACGGUACAAAGAGUCGCAAGACCGCGAGGUGGAGCUAAUCUCAUAAAACCGUUCUCAGUUCGGAUUGCAGG
rnacentral:rRNA from 1 species